AGUCUGACCGAGCAACGCCGCGUGAGUGAAGAAGGUUUUCGGAUCGUAAAACUCUGUUGUUAGAGAAGAACAAGGAUGAGAGUAACUGUUCAUCCCUUGACGGUAUCUAACCAGAAAGCCACGGCUAACUACGUGCCAGCAGCCGCGGUAAUACGUAGGUGGCAAGCGUUGUCCGGAUUUAUUGGGCGUAAAGCGAGCGCAGGCGGUUUCUUAAGUCUGAUGUGAAAGCCCCCGGCUCAACCGGGGAGGGUCAUUGGAAACUGGGAGACUUGAGUGCAGAAGAGGAGAGUGGAAUUCCAUGUGUAGCGGUGAAAUGCGUAGAUAUAUGGAGGAACACCAGUGGCGAAGGCGGCUCUCUGGUCUGUAACUGACGCUGAGGCUCGAAAGCGUGGGGAGCAAACAGGAUUAGAUACCCUGGUAGUCCACGCCGUAAACGAUGAGUGCUAAGU
rnacentral:rRNA from 1 species